rnacentral:rRNA from 1 species
CAAUAGCGUAUAUUAAAGUUGUUGCGGUUAAAACGCUCGUAGUCGAAAUUCAAUCUAAACUAGCUGUCUGGGCAUUUUGUCUAAGCAGUCAAGUUUGAAUUUUCCUGCAUGCAGGAAUAUUACUUUGAGGAAAUUAGAGUGUUUAAAGCAAGCGUUAGCUUUGAAUACCACAGCAUGGAAUAAUAAUAUAAGACUUUAGCUAUAUUUUGUUGGUUCAUAUAUCUGAAGUAAUGAUUAAUGGAAACAGUCGGGGGCAUUCGUAUUUAACUGUCAGAGGUGGAAUUCUUGGAUUUGUUAAGGACGAACAACUGCGAAAGCAUUUGCCAAGUAUGUUUUCAUUGA